AUUUUAUUGAGACUUUUGAGUUCAAAAGGGAUUUUCAAGCUGGAUUACCUAAGUGAUCUUCAGAGUGUUUUGUGGAUGCCAGAGUUCAAAGAAAAUAAUGCAGCUUCCAAGUAGCUACUGAAUGAAGGAUUGUGGCAUUCAGUUUGAUCCAUCAUGCAUUCUCUCCAGAAAUCCCCUUAGGACACCAAACAUGAAAUACAGAA
rnacentral:lncRNA from 1 species